rnacentral:rRNA from 1 species
UGGUUAAAAAGCUCGUAGUUGGAUCUCGGCGGACUGAGGGCGGUUUGCUUGCUAGUACUACUGCCCUAUAGUCCGUAGUUUUGCCAGAGGUUUCGGGGUGCUCUUAAUCGAGUGUCCCGGGAUGCUGGCAGGUUUACUUUGAAAAAAUUAGAGUGCUCAAAGCAGGCUAUUACGCCCGAAUAUUCGUGCAUGGAAUAAUAGAAUAGGAAGUCGUUUCUAUUUUGUUGGUUUUCGGAAAUCGACUUAAUGAUUAAUAGGGACAGUCGGGGGCAUUUGUAUUCAAACGACAGAGGUGAAAUUCUCGGACCGUUUGAAGACAAACUACUGCGAAAGCAUUUGCCAAGAAUGUUUUCAUUAAUCAAGAACGAAAGUUAAAGGUUCGAAGGCGAUUAGAUACCGCCCUAGUUUUAACCAUAAACGAUGCCAGCUAGCGAUCUGCGGACGUUUUUUUUGUAGACUCCGCAGGAAGCUUCCGGGAAACCAAGCAUUUGGGUUCCAGGGGAAGUAUGGUUGCAAAGCUGAAACUUAAAGGAAUUGACGGAAGGGCACCACCAGGAGUGGAGCCUGUGGCUUAAUUUGACUCAACACGGGAAAUCUCACCAGGCCCGGACACUGGAAGGAUUGACAGAUUGAUAGCUCUU